rnacentral:rRNA from 1 species
GAAGAUGCUGUGUACCCGCGGCUAGACGGAAAGACCCCGUGAACCUUUACUACAGCUUUACAUUGAACUUUGACCUUACCUGUGUAGGAUAGGUGGGAGGCUUUGAAGCAGGCACGCCAGUGUCUGUGGAGCCAUCCUUGAAAUACCACCCUGGUAAUGUUGGGGUUCUAACUCAAGCUUAACAGAGCUGAGGACAAUGUAUGGUGGGUAGUUUGACUGGGGCGGUCUCCUCCUAAAGAGUAACGGAGGAGUACGAAGGUGCGCUCAGAACGGUCGGAAAUCGUUCGAAGAGUAUAAAGGCAAAAGCGCGCUUAACUGCGAGACCCACAAGUCGAGCAGAUACGAAAGUAGGUCUUAGUGAUCCGGUGGUUCUGUAUGGAAGGGCCAUCGCUCAACGGAUAAAAGGUACUCUGGGGAUAACAGGCUGAUACCGCCCAAGAGUUCAUAUCGACGGCGGUGUUUGGCACCUCGAUGUCGGCUCAUCUCAUCCUGGGGCUGAAGCAGGUCCCAAGGGUAUGGCUGUUCGCCAUUUAAAGAGGUACGCGAGCUGGGUUUAGAACGUCGUGAGACAGUUCGGUCCCUAUCUACCGUGGGCGUUGGAAAUUUGAGAGGAUCUGCUCCUAGUACGAG